CCUACGGGUGGCAGCAGUGAGGAAUAUUGGUCAAUGGUCGGGAGACUGAACCAGCCAAGCCGCGUGAGGGAUGAAGGUACAGCGUAUCGUAAACCUCUUUUGUCAGGGAACAAAGGCGGGGACGCGUCCCCGGAUGAGUGUACCUGAAGAAAAAGCAUCGGCUAACUCCGUGCCAGCAGCCGCGGUAAUACGGAGGAUGCGAGCGUUACUCGGAAUUAUUGGGCGUAAAGGGCGCGUCGGCGGGGUAGCAAGUCAGAUGUGAAAUGCUAUGGCUUAACCAUAGCACUGCAGUUGAAACUGGGGGGCUAGAGUAUGGGAGAGGUAGGUGGAAUGCUUGGUGUAGGGGUGAAAUGCGUAGAGAUCAAGAAGAAUACUGAUUGCGAAGGCAGCCUGCUGGAGCCUAACUGACGCUGAUGCGCGAAAGUGUGGGGAGCGAACAGGAUUAGAUACCCGGGUAGUC
rnacentral:rRNA from 1 species